rnacentral:rRNA from 1 species
AUUGAACGCUGGCGGCAUGCCUUACACAUGCAAGUCGAACGGCAGCACGGGGCAACCUGGUGGCGAGUGGCGAACGGGUGAGUAAUGCAUCGGAACGUACCCGGAAGUGGGGGAUAACGUAGCGAAAGUUACGCUAAUACCGCAUAUUCUGUGCGCAGGAAAGAGGGGGAUCUUCGGACCUCUUGCUUUCGGAGCGGCCGAUGUCAGAUUAGCUAGUUGGUGGGGUAAAGGCCUACCAAGGCGACGAUCUGUAGCGGGUCUGAGAGGAUGAUCCGCCAAACUGGGACUGAGACACGGCCCAGACUCCUACGGGAGGCAGCAGUGGGGAAUUUUGGACAAUGGGCGCAAGCCUGAUCCAGCCAUGCCGCGUGAGUGAAGAAGGCCUUCGGGUUGUAAAGCUCUUUCGGCCGGGAAGAAAUCGCACCAGUUAAUACCUGGGGUGGAUGACGGUACCGGAAUAAGAAGCACCGGCUAACUACGUGCCAGCCGCCGCCGUAACAC